rnacentral:tRNA from 2 species
GGUAGCGAGGCCGAACGGUCUAAGGCGCUGGAUUAAGGAUCCAGUCUCUUCGGGGGCGUGGGUUCGAAUCCCACCGCUGCCA